ensembl:lncRNA LINC01808 long intergenic non-protein coding RNA 1808
GGCACUUCUGACAUCAGAGGCUCCAGCUGAAAGGUUCCAAAUCUAGGAGCUGGAGUCCAUGACUCACAGGAAGAGAAGAUUAAGACACAGAGAUACCAGAGAGGUCGUUCACAGAGGAAAGACCAUGUGAAGACGCAGUGAGAAGGUGGCCAUAUUCAAGCUGAGGAGAGAGACCUCAGAAGAAACCAAUACUGCCAACGCCUUGGUCUUGGACUUCCAGCCUCCAGAACUUUUGCCUCCCAUAUUUUUAUGAUGCCUUUUGAAAGCAUUCUUAAUGGUAAACAUAAAGAAAAUUUUGAUGUCUACUCACUUUCCAUUUUUUGGAAUUUUCCCCUUUUGGUCUCCUUGCUACCCCUAGUGGACUCUACCUUCCUUCCCCUGAUUCUCAUGAGAAUCUGAUCUUCGCUAAAGUGGGCAAGGUCCUGGAUCAGAAGAUGCCUGACAAGAGGCCACUAUCAGCAGCAACAGCACAGUGGGGACAAACCUGAGACCUUGAUGGACCGUGGACACCAGCAGGAGAGACAGAGGAACUUGAAGUCUAAAUGGGCAGACAAGACCAACAUACACAAAGCAGAGAGUGGCACAAGAGCCAUGUCUGAUGCAACAGUGACUCAGGAGGAUCACUCUGACUCAGAAUGGCCAAGCAAAGGUUAGCGUGUUAAGUCUCUGAAGCUGAUUAACGGCUUAACUCAAGUUUUCGCACCUGCAGACCAGUGACCCCCCACCGCCGCCCCCCCGCAAGGCAUCUGUUUGACGUCUCUUUAAUUUUAUUAGUGGCUUAUGGACAAAAUCACUUGACUUAACCUUUUUCAAGUGUAAGUUAUUUGGAUUCACAAGAGCAUUUUUCUCCCUGUUAUAAAUCAAUGAACCCAGUUAAGAUUAACUGCCUACAUGUGAGCUUCAAAAGAUCUUCUAUGGCCAGGCAAAGUUGAAAGAAACACAUAAUUCCAUAACAUGCUAAACACAAGUUGAUCAAAGUUUUUGGAGCUGGUUACUUAAUGCUGUACUUCCUCAUUCUCAAACAAUCUGAUUUCAAGUAGUUUGUGUCUAAAACAUAUAUUACUAGACUGCAAACAUUCAUCCUUUGGAAGAAAAAUCAUUUCUGUAUCUUAACUGGUCAAAAUCUAUGUUUCAACAGACCUAAACUAAACUCUGGGCUAAACAUUCCUGAACCUAAUUUGUGAAAUUCCAUAAUGUUUGGAGAUUAAAGCAAAAAGAAAUGAAAAUAAAAGAAA